rnacentral:rRNA from 1 species
CGGGUUGUAAACCGCUUUCAGGAGGGACGAAGCCACUCGGGUUAAUAGCCCAGAGGGUGACGGUACCUCCAGAAGAAGCCCCGGCUAACUACGUGCCAGCAGCCGCGGUAAUACGUAGGGGGCAAGCGUUGUCCGGAUUUAUUGGGCGUAAAGAGCGUGUAGGCGGCUUGGCAAGUCCGUUGUGAAAACUGGAGGCUCAACCUCCAGACGUCGAUGGAAACUGCCUGGCUAGAGUCCGGAAGAGGAGAGUGGAAUUCCUGGUGUAGCGGUGAAAUGCGCAGAUAUCAGGAAGAACACCCGUGGCGAAGGCGGCUCUCUGGGACGGUACUGACGCUGAGACGCGAAAGCAUGGGGAGCGAACAGGAUUAGAUACCCUGGUAGUCCAUGCCGUAAACGAUGGGUGCUAGGUGUGGGGGGUGUCGACUCCCUCCGUGCCGGAGCCAACGCGGGAAGUCGGCCGCCUGGGGAGUACGGCCGCAAGGCUAAAACUCAAAGGAAUUGACGGGGGCCCGCACAAGCAGUGGAGCAUGUGGUUCAAUUCGACGCAACGCGAAGAACCUUACCUGGGCUUGAACUGUAGAUGACAUCCGGCGAAAGUCGGCUCCCGCAAGGG